rnacentral:rRNA from 1 species
GAUGAACGCUGGCGGCGUGCCUAAUACAUGCAAGUCGAGCGAACGGACGAGAAGCUUGCUUCUCUGAUGUUAGCGGCGGACGGGUGAGUAACACGUGGAUAACCUACCUAUAAGACUGGGAUAACUUCGGGAAACCGGAGCUAAUACCGGAUAAUAUUUUGAACCGCAUGGUUCAAAAGUGAAAGACGGUCUUGCUGUCACUUAUAGAUGGAUCCGCGCUGCAUUAGCUAGUUGGUAAGGUAACGGCUUACCAAGGCAACGAUGCAUAGCCGACCUGAGAGGGUGAUCGGCCACACUGGAACUGAGACACGGUCCAGACUCCUACGGGAGGCAGCAGUAGGGAAUCUUCCGCAAUGGGCGAAAGCCUGACGGAGCAACGCCGCGUGAGUGAUGAAGGUCUUCGGAUCGUAAAACUCUGUUAUUAGGGAAGAACAUAUGUGUAAGUAACUGUGCACAUCUUGACGGUACCUAAUCAGAAAGCCACGGCUAACUACGUGCCAGCAGCCGCGGUAAUACGUAGGUGGCAAGCGUUAUCCGGAAUUAUUGGGCGUAAAGCGCGCGUAGGCGGUUUUUUAAGUCUGAUGUGAAAGCCCACGGCUCAACCGUGGAGGGUCAUUGGAAACUGGAAAACUUGAGUGCAGAAGAGGAAAGUGGAAUUCCAUGUGUAGCGGUGAAAUGCGCAGAGAUAUGGAGGAACACCAGUGGCGAAGGCGACUUUCUGGUCUGUAACUGACGCUGAUGUGCGAAAGCGUGGGGAUCAAACAGGAUUAGAUACCCUGGUAGUCCACGCCGUAAACGAUGAGUGCUAAGUGUUAGGGGGUUUCCGCCCCUUAGUGCUGCAGCUAACGCAUUAAGCACUCCGCCUGGGGAGUACGACCGCAAGGUUGAAACUCAAAGGAAUUGACGGGGACCCGCACAAGCGGUGGAGCAUGUGGUUUAAUUCGAAGCAACGCGAAGAACCUUACCAAAUCUUGACAUCCUUUGACAACUCUAGAGAUAGAGCCUUCCCCUUCGGGGGACAAAGUGACAGGUGGUGCAUGGUUGUCGUCAGCUCGUGUCGUGAGAUGUUGGGUUAAGUCCCGCAACGAGCGCAACCCUUAAGCUUAGUUGCCAUCAUUAAGUUGGGCACUCUAAGUUGACUGCCGGUGACAAACCGGAGGAAGGUGGGGAUGACGUCAAAUCAUCAUGCCCCUUAUGAUUUGGGCUACACACGUGCUACAAUGGACAAUACAAAGGGCAGCGAAACCGCGAGGUCAAGCAAAUCCCAUAAAGUUGUUCUCAGUUCGGAUUGUAGUCUGCAACUCGACUACAUGAAGCUGGAAUCGCUAGUAAUCGUAGAUCAGCUUGCUACGGUGAAUACGUUCCCGGGUCU